rnacentral:misc_RNA from 1 species
CGUCAACAAGUUCACUGAACCAUUCCACCACCAUGAGACACAUCCGUCACAAUCGUCAGCUUAUCUCGAGAACCACCGUUCGCCGCCACUACGCCACCAAAUAUACGGCCAAAAUCACCUCAACAUCCUCCACAGGCCGCAGCCUCUCCGCCGAAGUAACUCUACCUCUUCCCUCCGACCCUCGCGGUUACCCACUCCCCCGCCGUCAUCUUAUCUGUAAAGCUA